CAGUCGCCGACGGUAAUACGGAGGGUGCAAGCGUUAAUCGGAAUUACUGGGCGUAAAGCGCACGCAGGCGGUCUGUCAAGUCAGAUGUGAAAUCCCCGGGCUUAACCUGGGAACUGCAUUUGAAACUGGCAGGCUAGAGUCUUGUAGAGGGGGGUAGAAUUCCAGGUGUAGCGGUGAAAUGCGUAGAGAUCUGGAGGAAUACCGGUGGCGAAGGCGGCCCCCUGGACAAAGACUGACGCUCAGGUGCGAAAGCGUGGGGAGCAAACAGGAUUAGAUACCCCGGUAGUCCCUGUCUCUUAUU
rnacentral:rRNA from 1 species